GCUGCGCACUUCGGUCUUUUACGUCGGCCUUCGCGAGCGUCUGGGCGGGUGGUAGGAACAAUGGCGCUGUCUUCAGUGGCACAGUGGAGCAGCUCUGAAGAUGCAAAGAUACACGAAAAAACUUCCAGAACAUCUGGGAGAAUAUUUAAUGGAAAAUCGCUUGGUUAAAACCUGACACUUUUAACAGUGAACAGCGUUCUGAGUGUGGACGAGUAGCCAGUGAAGAUAAUGAAUGUCGAAUGUGACUGACUAGCAGCUUCAUUUUGAAUGAGGGUCGCUGUCUGCCCAUUGAUAGAGGCCAGAUUGUCUUGGAAGUUCCAAAGUUGCAACGAUUUCUGGCUAGUGCCACGAGGUUUACUUGACUGUUGUGUGAAAAGCUGAUAAGAAAACCAUCCAGAAAAAAGCUCUUCGUUUUACAAACAUGAAAAUAAAACAUGUAAUUUUGGAUUAUGUUCCUUUUUGUUAUUACUUUUAAAUAGGUCCUGAAAUAACAUGGGGAGCAUUAAAUGGAAAAUCCACUAACCAGCCUUGUAAUCAAAUUACUGUGAGUGAAUGUUUCGGGUUUGUGCAGGGUACAAUGUAAGGGUUUUUGGAUCAGUGUAAGAGUGGAGAGACAGGAAUUAGAAGUAAUUGUUACUAAGCAAAUCAUGGAAUAUUUAGUUUUGAUGUAACUAUAAUUUUGAAAGCCUGGAUGCUUAAGUUGAGAAAUGGGGGAAUGAGAUACAGAAAAUAAGGAGCACAAUAGAAUAAUAAUAGCAGUUUAUUAAGUAUGGUCAUGAGGGAAGGUUACUGAUAAAACAAUCUGGUAAAGACAUUCAGGCUUGCUAAAAUCUAGGAAGAGGUCAUUUGGCAGGAUGGGUUACAUAAUGCUAUCUGAUACUACCAAAUAAAAUGAGAGAGAAGCCUUAGGCAUGUAACGUUUGGAGAUAGAAAAUGUACCUUCACUAUGAAGGUAGUGUGUGUAAGAUGGCAGUUGAAAGCAUUGCUUGUGUUUAUGUUUAUACCCUUGAUCUCUGAUGCCCUUACCUACCGUACUUAAAACUCUGUUAAUCAUUGUCUUUCUCCCCCUCCCACAACUUCUGCAUAAAAUUUUAAGAUCUGUGUUUCAUUAGUUCAAGAGUGCCUAGAAUAGGGCCAGGCACUGUUAUACAGUAUGUGGUAAAAGACUAUUGAGAUUCCAGUUUUCAAGGAAGAGUGCCAUUACCGUUUUGUUAAAGCUGGCAAACAAGACAAAGUUGUGAAAUAGACUGGUUGCUUUGGAGCCCUCUGACCGCUUUUCCUGUAGCUCCUUCUACCUCCCUUGCCUCCCAAUAGAUUUUUUAAUAUGUCACAUUAUCUAUCGAAAUUAGUACUCCACAUUUAUAUGCACUGGCUUGUGCUAGGCUCUGCCAAGACUCCUGAAAUAAAACCGUUUUGUCAACAGUGGCACAAGAUGCCAAGGAAAAGUCAA
ensembl:lncRNA SNHG5 small nucleolar RNA host gene 5